GCACCUUGAGAGUUAUCUCCACCAUGUGUUGAACAAAUUCAGUGAACCACUGCUCUGUCUUCUUGUCUAUUGCUUUAGGGCACAAUCUAGUGAAGAGAUCCCUGCUCUCGAGCUCUUGCUGGUCCCUUGGUACCUCUGCAGUUUGUGUUACGGUUUGAGUUCCCCUCUCAAUCCCCAGGUCGAUUUGCCCUUGUUCAUGUGGUUCUCGUUCCGUGCUCUCCAAAGGUUAGUGAAGCUCACCCAGUUGGAAUUUUUAGCUCUACUGUUCCGUGUUGCAUAGAACGGGGUUGCGACAUCUCGGUUUGGCGUCGUGGAUAGCUUCCACGCGGUCCCAUUAACCUACGUUGUCCCCGAUCGACUUAACGCGAGCACCGAGAUCCUCGCAAGUCGUUGAAGCUUCCCAUAACCUCCGUUCAAGCUCUAAAGCGCGGUGGUCGGUAAUCCAGGUCUAGAGUCUCCGCGGUUGGGUUGAGCACGUGACUGAGUUUGCUUCGGUUCAUGGGUGUGCUGAUGCCAUUGUCAUAGGCUAUGUCGGGCCGUCGUGGCCAAUCCAGCAUGGGCUCACCGGAGCUACCCGCGGCGGAGUUGUGGCCGAGUUUCUAUAAAAGAUGAAAAACCGAAGGGCUUAUGUGUUGCUGUCAGUGACCCACGUAAAUACCGAUUUGGUCUCGUGUUGGUUAGGCAAAGCUGCGAGGGAUUUUGCGCAAAAGAGCCAGCACGGACUGCCGGCCAUGGCCCAUGGGCCAGCUUGUCCUGUUGCGCGGGCCGUCUGGGCUGGUUUAGGGCCCAGAACUGUUCAGUAUUUUGCCUUUUCUUUUGUCUGUGAGAUUGGAAAUUAAGCCAGAUAUCAUAGAAAAAUGAUAAAAUUUCAGGUCAAAUUUUGUUAGGUGUAGCAGCUAGAUAUUUUUAGGUGAAUAAAAAGUACUUUAAAUGAGCUUAUGUGAAUUUUAAUAAUAAAAGUAGAGCACUAAAAAUUAUAGGAAAAAUUGUGUAAGCUUAACUUGAGCAUAUGACCCCUUGGGUAAAGUUUGGAACUGUUUGGACAAGACUUGCUUAGCAAAUUAAUUAUUGCUCAAUAAAAUAAAAGAGUUUUACCCCUCGGUAGUUAAAGCACCUGAUGUCUUAGUAAAGAAUAAAGUUGUUUAGCAAGUUUUGGAUAGUUAGAUGAGUUCUAAGAGUGCUUAGUUCCCUGGUACCUAUAGCUUGUAGGUUUGGUCUAGGAGUAAUCUGUGUUAUCUCCUUUGCAAGUUGCAUAUUCCUAGCAUAAGCAAGCAUUCAUAUUCAUAUUCAUAUCAUUCAUGUAGAACACCAAGAAGAAGAAUUGGUUUUUUAAAGAAGGAACCUGCUCCAGUGCUAUUGAUCCAGUGAUGGACUCCAUCUAACUGCGUAUCGUGAUAGAAGAUCUCAUAUUCCUCUCGUAAUAAGGCAAGCCCUCGUGCAUUUGCCCCUUCCUUGUGUUUUAAAUGCUUUAUCACCUGAUAUGAUGCAUUAGGUGAUAGGAGUUGUGUGAUAAACAAUUUAUACAUUACCAUUACUUGGAAAUUCCUAAAUUCCUAUUUUAUAAAAAGAAUUAUCACUGCUUAGUCCUGUUCAGAAACUCAAAAAUCAUUUGUUUUUCAAAAGGAUGAUGUGUAACAUUGGUUAUGGGCAUUUGAUUCAAAAGUGAAAGAAAACUUAUGAUGUUGAGUCCAUCAGGGCUCCGGAUGGGUUCAUCAUCCGAAAAGAGUACCCCUAUUGGGUACCAAAAAUGGGAAAAUGGGUUGAAUAAAUGGAGACCAGACGCUGAGCAGACAAGGUCGCCUGUUUGUGUCGAUUAAGGACUGUACUGUUGACUGGCCUGUUGUGGUUGAGACUUUACAACUAGCCUCAUACCCUGGUAUGGGACAGGGUAAGCUUGAACCCGGCUAUUCCAUACGUGAAGAGACAAUCGCGCACUGGGAGUGGAGAGAUGGCGGGAGUAGCAUGUACCCUCCUAGCAUAGUAGCACGCCUAGUAGGGUAAUGAGCUCUCGGGUGGCGCGGACCUAUUCAUGUAGUGGAAAACUCCAUGGGAACGGUUGACAUAUGCAAGGGUUAAGUGCUACAUAUGUUGUGUGGUUAGAGAUCCCUAGCUGGGUAUAAUCGGUUCGAAUCGUCAUUGCUGCUCGGUUAUUGUCACACCCGGGUUUUAGGGGUCCAAAGCCCGGGCGCGAACAUAAUCAACAGGUGUGCUAGGACCAAGUCUAACACAUAUGAUGAAUCAUGGCACUGGAUCGAAUGCCACAUCUUUACUAUAUAAUAGGAGUUCUGUACAAAAUAAAUAAAUAAUUACAUUAUAAGGAGACAACGGUCUAGCAACCCAAAGUUGACUGGGAGACGACGACCUAGACCACUCACGAACUCGUCACAGCAUCCUCCAUGCUUCUCAUCCUGUGGUACCUGUUCUUGACAUGUGGGGGUGUGAGAUAUCAAGAGUGAGCUCACAUACGUUCAUAGCUCAACAAGUUGUGGGGAAUAAUGUGCAUGACUCGCCAAAGGUGGGAGCUCACGUGAAGUGUAAGGCUUACCAAAGAGGAUGGUUGAAGCUGAGCAUUGCUUUUAAAGUUGGUCAAAAUUUUAUUAGCAAUUACUAAGUAUAAGUAAAUAGCAACCCAAUUAAGUAGUAAAACAAAAGUAAUAACAACACCUGCGAUGCAAUGCAUAUGACAAAUUGAAUUUAUGUUUCAUAAAUUAAUCAUGUGAGGGUCCAAGCUGCUCAUUACCGUGAGCACGGCUAGUAUACCAGUUUUACACUCUGCAGAGGUUGCGCAUCUUUACCCACAAGUCAUGUUACCCAUUUGCCACGGGGUUGUACGGGCCCCAUACACCUCUACCAAGAAAGCGAGGCAGGGUAACACUACGAGGCCUUUACAAAGUUCCACUAGCUUCAGAAAACCAGCUACAGUUUAUAGGAAGCUCCAAUGUAGGGAUCCCUUGCCUGACCGCCAUCACAGCAAAAUCAACCAAGGACCUCCCCACACUGACCACUCCCCUACUGCCCUUGCCCCUUUCGGGUAAGGUAGUCCUCCACUAGCUUUCCUAAUUAAUCAGCCAAGGGCGUCCCAUUAAACCCUUGUGGUAGCACUAUUUUCCUGGGUGGUCGCUCCAUGUUCCAAUUAACAUAAUGAUCUUAUCAUGAACAGUAAAUAACAACUGAUAACAAAAGUAUAAUCAUGAAUAAUGUGUAUCUCAAUGCCCAAAACCACAUAUAGCACUAGCAAGUACUACCCAAAAAGUCCAGUGACAAACAAGGCAUAAAGAUAGACAAACUAGGGUAACCUAUUAGGUCCCAUCAAAAUUAACCUAUGCAGAUCAUUAUGAUUAAUUAGAACAUGAGUGGGUAAAAGAAGUGAUCAAGGGCACAACUUGCCUGGGACUUGAGAUUCCAGGUAUCAACUUGCUCACGUGUCCUCAAUGCUAAACGUAGCAAUACAGACAAACAUGGUAUAGGCAAAAUUAACAUCAUACCAAACAUAAUAAUAAACUAUGCAAUAACAAUCUACGCUGCGUAACGAGAUCGUAGGAACAAGAAUCACUAAAUUUGGAGUUAUAGUUAUUUAGUUAUGAAUUUCUGAAGUUAUUGAGCACCUAGAAUAGAUUAAUUCAAAUGAACAAUUUUAAUUCAAGUUUUAUGGUUAAACAAAGGUACUAGGUAAUAAACAAUACUUAAAUUAAUGCCACUUGAAUGAAUCAAUUUGGAGCUAAAUUCAUCAAGUUAUGAAUUUCCUAAGUUUGGGGCAUCAUUUUGCAUUAAAAAGAAUUUCUGUAUUUAAUUUAAUAGAUUUCUGAGUUACUUGGACUGCUGACACUAUUUAAUAGAAACCCAGGGGGGUUCUGCGCAAAAGAACCAAGACUCAGAACUCCCACAGUGUGGACUGCAGGUUGUUUAUAGUCAAAUAGGAGGUCUCUUUUGCAAAACGCGCAGGUCGAAAGGGUAUUGGUUAAUUCGGGUCGUUGGAUCCUGCAUCAAGGGCCACGAUUAGAGCGGGGAAGGUUAUAAUCCGAUAUGCGUUCAUUGCCCUAGGAUCAAAGAUCAAUGGCCCAAAAUCGUCCACGCUACAGAUUUAGCCCGGACCCUCAGAUUGAUGAUCUACGACCCAGACCUAUCCUAGCCGAAAGGGUACGCGAGGUCUAAUCUGUGUCGUCCAUCCAUCGAUCAACGGCGCACGACCCUUCUCCUUACCCCGACGCUCCCAAGGCAGAGUCGCCGGAAUCCCUGCGGCCGUGGAGCUCACCGGCGCACCAAAGUCGGCCACCCAGAGCUCAAAACCAAAUCGGAUAGGACUACACGAUGCUUAUGCUAUUGCGAACCUGGGUGGAGGGUACUCACCGUAAAUCGGGGGUCGAAGGAUGCCGGCCACGACGCAUGGUGGCUCCGUCGUGGACCAUCUGUCCCGGUGAGCAAUUGGGCUCGCCCGGACGGCCGUCUUCCCCCAACACGACCACGGACACAUCCCCGGUGAUGGGAUGAAGCCCCCUGGGUUAACAUCCAGGGCCCAUUGGCGACGAGAGCGGGGAUGCGCGGUGGCCACGAGAGUAUCGCACAACAGCUAUCUCACUGAUUCUCUCUCAUCUCUUGCAAUGGCGGAACUGGGUGCAUUGGGUUGGGGAGAACGAGGAGACUGCGACACCCGAUUUAUACUCUAGUAGCGAAGUCCGAGCGAGGCACGAGGAGCGAGAUCCCCGGCGAGGUAAUCGGCGUUCUGUUGCAACGGCAUCGGAGAGACGGGUCUGACAGAUGUGGCCCGCAAACUAGUGGUGCAGACACGGAGAAGGAAAGAGGAAGGGCUGACGCGAGGGCCCCACAAACCAGAGUCACGGUGCAAAUAUUGGUGAGCGGGGUCGACCUGCUGUGAUGGGCCGAGGGGAGGGAAAGGCAAUGUGGGCCAGAAGCAGGGAGUCGGCCCAAGCGAGUUUUCUUUCUUUUUCUUUUUAUUUUCCUUUUCUAUUUCCAUUUCUAAUUUGAAUCCCAAAUCUGCUCUAAAUUCAAGUCUAAGGUACAAUUGGAAUGCCUAACAUAAUGUGCAAUAAUUAUACUAAUCUAUUUAAUUACUUUAUUUAGUAUUAUUAUUUUAUUUUAGGUAAUACUUUCAGCAUGAGAUUCACACCUUAUUUAUAUUAUUAUUAUUUUUAAAUGCACAAGCAAUUAACUCCAACAUGAUGCACCAUUUUCUUUAUUUAAUAUAUUUAAUGCAAAGAUGAGAAAAUCAUCACAAGUAGCCAAUUAAAUAAAUUUUGAUAUGUUUCCCAAUUCCUAUACAUUUUAUUUCUUUCAAAAUUUGGGUAUUACAGUUAUGGAGACUCAUCCCGGUGACCAUCAUCGUAGUUAGGCAAAUCUAGAUUCAGGUAAAUCUAGAUUCAGGUAAAUAUCUAACUUGUGAAAUGAAACUUGGCAUAGGGAUCAACUGGUAGUAAGCUUUUCUGCCAAAAAGGGUCUUCGAUAAUUGAUAAGCUUUACCUUGAGUCCCAAAAUCCAGCAUACCCUUGAGAGUCUUUUCUUUAGUCGGGUAAGUCUUGCUGAGUAAUUGCAUACUCAGGGUUUUAUUCCCUAUGUUGUUGUAGGGAGGAUUCUUGCUAUCUUUAGCUCCUAAUAGUUGCUUUGUACGGAGGCCUUGAAGAUUUUAAUGCUUAGUUUAUUUCUUAUGGAAAGGCUUCACCUUUCCCAAUUGUGUAUUAAGUCAUGCACUUGAGUACUAUCAGGACUUGUAAUAAUUACAACUCUUUCUAUGAUGUAAAACUUGAGAUUUGGAAUUGUAAAAGUAUGUUUUGUAAAGUCUUCUGUUCUAUCUCCGAAG
rnacentral:lncRNA from 1 species